UUUGAGGUUACCUCUUAGUCCAUCAAUUGUGACGUCCGUGAUUCCUAUCGACUCUUGGAUGGCAUUGGCUUUGGAACGCCAUUCGGGAGUGAGACUUCGCAGGAUUUUUCGAACAAGAUCUUUGUUCGAAUAUACUUUCCCAAGAGCAUGGAGAUCGUUGAUGAUCAUUGAAAAUCGAUCAAACAUAUCAUCGAUGCUUUCAGGCUCCUUCAUUCUAAAGAGUUCAUAUUCAUGUGUUAGAAAAUCAACUCUUGCUUCUCGGACUAGAGACGUACCUUCAUA
rnacentral:lncRNA from 1 species